rnacentral:sRNA from 1 species
AGGAAGCGAAAGACGGUCCAACGACCGGCG